rnacentral:rRNA from 1 species
UACAGAGGGUGCGAGCGUUGUCCGGAAUCACUGGGCGUAAAGGGCGCGUAGGCGGCUUGAUGAGGUUGCGGUGAAAGCCCGGGGCUCAACCCCGGGUCGGCCGUGGCAACUGUCGAGCUGGAGCACUGUAGAGGCAGGUGGAAUUCCGGGUGUAGCGGUGAAAUGCGCAGAUAUCAGGAGGAACACCAAUGGCGAAGGCAGCUCGCUGGGACGGUACUGACGCUGAGACGCGAAAGCGUGGGGAGCAAACAGG